rnacentral:rRNA from 1 species
UACGUAGGGGGCCAGCGUUGCUCGGAAUUACUGGGCGUAAAGGGUUCGUAGGUGGCCACUUAAGUCAGACGUGAAAUCCCUCAGCUUAACUGGGGAACUGCGUCUGAUACUGAGUGGCUUGAGUGCAGGAGAGGAAUGCGGAAUUCCAGGUGUAGCGGUGAAAUGCGUAGAUAUCUGGAGGAACACCGGUGGCGAAGGCGGCAUUCUGGACUGUAACUGACACUGAGGAACGAAAGCCAGGGGAGCAAACGGG